GCCCCCCACACCCUCACAUCCUUACUUCACUCUCUUAAACUCCCACCACCUGUCUUCUGUCCUCAUCUCUCUGCUGAAGCAGCAAUUUUGAAACUAGUUAUCUAGCACUGGCCACAACAAAAUCACCUUUCCUCAGUUUUAUUAUCUUAGAUCUAUUUUUGGCACAUGACACUAUUAAGCACUGACAACCUCCUCAACCCUCCAAACAACAUGGUGUCAAACUUCCCUUCCUAGAGGCCCUCCAUUCCACUGGCAUUCCUGAGCAGUGACGUUCUGGUGGAGUCACAAGGGAGAAGAUUCAGAGCGUCGGAGAGGAGGAUGUUCUCCUCUACUUUGGAGUCAAGAGGAGCAGCAGCUAUCCAGAUGGUUUGGAGAUGUUUUGAGAGAAGGCGAGGCAUUGUUAGAAGAAGUGGGAACGCAGAAAAAAAUGAACAGAGUGACCUUGAUGGUUUGGGGUGGCAUGUUGUCUCCAUCUCUUCUGGGAAGUGGUCUUUUUCUGUGGUGCAUGAUCCCAACGGGCAGGGUGAGGAUAAUCUACAAUUCUCCACUGAGACUUCAGGCUCUGGAUCAGUCUUGGAAAACAGAAGACACAAUGGUGCUGAACCAGGGACACUGUGUGAGCUAGACACAGCUCUAGAGAAAAGCAACACACUUCUUUGCGCCACAAGACAUUUGCUGAUGAACCUCGCCCAGCUUUGUUCACUCUACACUUCCCUCGUCAUACAGCCAAAUGCUAUUCUUACAUAUUUUGGUAAGGAUUGCCCUGUCUUCCCUCUCCUUCCUCAUAGGUCCCCUCCCUCUGUGCCCUCUAUCCCUGAGAGCAGGAGCAUCCAUUCCAUGGCAUCUCCUUGA
rnacentral:lncRNA from 12 species